AGGCAUUUAAAAUAUACGCUGCUGACCAACCUUGGCCAAGAAGACCAUAAGAUGGUGUUGAGGGGUUUGGAUUGGUUCGUCCCCUCUGCUCCCAGCAUGGCGCUGGUGUGAGAGAGCUCUUUUUUGCCAGUGGCCUAACAGAUGGCGCCUGCCGUUACAGCAACCUACGUUGCAGACCAUUCACCCAGCAUUGUGGUACAUACCAAAUGCUACAUCCAUCGAAUAAAUAGGAGCAGACUCAUAGCAUUUCAGGAAGGAUAAUUUUAUAUACAUCUCAGCACCAUCCUCUCAACUUUACCAUACACAGUAAAGAAUCAGAUAUGGAGCAGUUCAACGAAAAUUUGCACAGAAUCAGGUCUAAUAAUUUAA
rnacentral:sRNA from 1 species